rnacentral:rRNA from 1 species
GACGUAGGGCGCGAGCGUUGUCCGGAUUUAUUGGGCGUAAAGAGCACGUAGGCGGCUUGUCGCGUCGAAUGUGAAAACCCACAGCUCAACUGUGGGCUUGCAUUCGAUACGGGCAGGCUAGAGUUCGGUAGGGGAGACUGGAAUUCCUGGUGUAGCGGUGAAAUGCGCAGAUAUCAGGAGGAACACCGGUGGCGAAGGCGGGUCUCUGGGCCGAUAUUGACGCUGAGGAGCGAAAGCGUGGGGAGCGAACAGG